GGCGAACGCUGGCGGCGUGCCUAAUACAUGCAAGUCGAGCGGACAGAAGGGAGCUUGCUCCCGGAAGUUAGCGGCGGACGGGUGAGUAACACGUGGGCAACCUACCCUGUAGAUCGGGAUAACAUCGAGAAAUCGGUGCUAAUACCGGAUAAUCAUUUGAAGUGCAUGCUUCGAAUGUAAAAGAUGGCUCCGGCGAUCACUACGGGAUGGGCCAGCGGCGCAUUAGCUAGUGGGUAAGGUAAUGGCGUACCAAGGCAACGAUGCGUAGCCGACCUGAGAGGGUGAUCGGCCACACUGGGACUGAGACACGGCCCAGACUCCUACGGGAGGCAGCAGUAGGGAAUCGUCCGCAAUGGACGAAAGUCUGACGGAGCAACGCCGCGUGAGUGAUGAAGGUUUUCGGAUCGUAAAGCUCUGUUGUUAGGGAAGAACAAGUGCCGUUUGAAUAAGGCGGCACCUUGACGGUACCUAACCAGAAAGCCACGGCUAACUACGUGCCAGCCGCCGCCGUAAUAC
rnacentral:rRNA from 1 species